UUUAUUAUAUUUUAUGAAAACAAUUACAAUAAAUACCUGGUGGUGGAAAAAUUUACGUCAAACGUCGUGAAGUAACAUCGCUAUAGUAUAAUCUCAUACAAAAGGCUUGUC
rnacentral:ncRNA from 1 species